rnacentral:lncRNA from 1 species
ACAAGUUGUCUUCUCUUCAAGCUCCAUUUUACUCCAUAAUCUUCGAUGUACUCCAAAACACACCUAAACUUGUAAAUAAUCUAAAACAGACGCAAAGUACAUAAUAAGGACUCUAAAUAUAUAUGGCCUACAAUAUAUCCUAAUAGUGGUAAAUUCUGAGACCUAUCAACUUCCAUGUGAAUGGUGGGUGCAGUCCAUCUGAGUUAAACCACUUUCCAAGCAUCUUCGUCUAAUCCACGGAUUAUAUGUCUCAGACAAGCCUUCCAAUGACCAAACUGUCUUCAUCCAACAUGUAGGGGCUCAGUAGAAUUACGAGUUCUCUCAUGGUUUCAAAGACUUCCAUAGGACCUCAACAUGUAUGUGGAUAGAAAAUCCAAGUGGCAACCUGCUAUGAUACCAAAUGAAAAGUUUAUACUAAGCAAAACCAGGAAGAACACAAGGGACUAGAAGCCAUGUGUCUCUUAUUAUUAAGAAUCAGUUAAACAAUCUUACACAUAUUUAUUUAAUCUGAAUUACUGAACGUUACACACGGCUUGAAACAAACCAAUUAUUAAUCUACCCUUUUGCGUGACCAUACCAGUUGAUCACGUCUCCAGUUCACUCAC